ACAUCCAUGGAGCCAGCAGGUGACACGUCCGCUUAGGACACCUUCACGUGUUAGAGACAAGAUCUUUUGUCAACACUAAAAUGCAUUUUUCUACGACUAAAAUUCUAACUUUUAAACCGUUUUUCUGUUUUGCCCAAACUAGAAAGACGAGGGAAAUCCAACACCGGUCAGCUGUGAGCUCUCUUGGAGCGUUUCGAGCGAAACUCGCUAUUAUGUCCGGGAUGACGUGAUGGAUGAACUUGCUGAAGUCAUCCUACCCCCGAAUCAUGUCAGAAAUGUUCAUCUUCAUCUCUGCGGGACAUUAUGAGCUGCCUCCUGGGACCACUGAGGUGAGGGACACUGGAGGUAGAGUCCAGCACUCCUGUGUCCAGUUUAGGGGUGGACGUGUAGCGUGGCCCAACCCGACCUAUCAGCCCUCGGACAUCCCUGUGAAGAGCGGGAUCGCUUGGGAUGGAAUUGAGACGCACUCCCUGCUCCAGACCCCCGAUGUCCCGGUCCAAACGGGGGUUACUGGAGCUGCUGGGGGACUGGGGAUCAGCGCUGAAGUAGAGGGUUGAACUGGACUCCGUGGGGCAAAAGUAUGGCUCCGGGCUGUCUCCAAAUACGGAUUUGCCCUCUGGUGAGCUGCGCUUGAAAUCGGAUGCGGGUGACUCCAGCGGGCUCUCCAUCUCCAGACUGUCAUCCUCUGCUUGUUCGAAGGACGUGGGUUCACUCACAGUCUGAAAUUCGUCUUUGCAGUCCGACAGGGGUGCCAAGCCUUUCCCCUGAGACUCAGACAUGGACACACCCUCGCAGCUGCCCCCUGCCGUGGUGUUGAUGCCUUCGUUACUCUUAAACUCCUGGUUGUACUCCUCCAUGUCCAGUAUGGCUGCCGCACCACCUGCCCCAUAUGCUCGGUUGAUCUUCCCCAGGUCGCCUGUUUUCAGGGCCAGCCGGAUGAGGAGCCAGUGAUGGUGGUAGCAAGGGCAGGAGCUGUUUGGCCUCCCUCCACAUGAGCUCGGAUGCUCCAGCAGUGAACCAGCCACACCGGAGAGGGAGAAGCUGCCGUGGUUUUGUACACCACCAACCGGCAGGCUUUUGUCCCCAAGUGAGAAGGAGGACUCCCCACGUUCUAUGCACGUGCUACCCAUGUGGUUGCGGUUCAGACCUUGGGCGAUCUCUGUUGACUUGGGGUGGAGAAACCGGUAGUAGAUGACCAGGGAGGUAGCGCCUGGUAACCAUAGAGACAGGAAGAGAUUUUUAGAAGUACAUAUUGAUGAGUUAGCAACUCGGUUUCUCACACUGGACAAAUAUGGUAGUAGGAGUUAUACACAAUUAAGAAAACUGAGAGUGACCCACCGAGGAUAAAGCUACUCAGGACACUGAUGGGGAGCGUCAUGUUGUCCCACGAUGCUUCGCUCAGUAAGUCAGAGGCGGCCAGCAGUAAAGUGGCAUUCUCAAUCAGCAUGAACUGAAAGAGAAAGACAAGGUAAAGCCAGAUGUCAUUAUUCAAACAUUUAAAAUCACUUCUCACCGCAUAAAAGCUGGCCAUGCGGAAGCGCGAAGGUCCGUCUUUGACGUUAAGAAAGAGGAAGACAUGGACGAGCCCCAGGAGGCCGUUAAAGGCACGCCAACACCAGGGACCGGUGCAGAUGUCUGGUUGCUGCGACACCAGCCAGAAGGAGGCGGUCAGCCAGUGAAAGCCUGCAGUCCGCUUGCAUUGGGGCCAUUGGUGGCAAUGACCUACUAGAUCCAGCCAGUAUGCCAUGUGUGGCAGCUGCACAUUACUUCAACCAACAGGACUGGAGUGGAACAAUAACACAAGACCCACCAGUUGAACACCCUGGCGAAGAACAUGAGGCAUGUCACCCUGGCACCCAGCAUGCCAGCCCGCCACACAAGCUGGCACAGCAGGGCUGCCGGAGGCAUGGCAAGGUGGCCUGGCCGGAUGAGACAGCAGGCUCGGCUGUACAGCACCAGGGCCCAGGAAAUAGACAGCACGCAAAGACCACAGGAGUAGGCCACUGGCAAAGACGGGUCUGUACCUUUUGAAGAUUCCCAAGUGAAGAAUGUGUAUGGUAGAGAGGUACCAUCGCCUGUCGUCACCGUCAUCAUAAUACCAUUUGACGCUUAGCAGCUGCACCGCCGUGCCCGGGAGAAAGAGUCCGAGAGUGAGGCCGGCCCACCUUGUCUCGUCGUUCCAAAGUAUUUCCUAUGGAAGAACAUGCCAAAGAUUCACCAUUUCUCCUCGGCGCUGUAGAACACCAACACUCUGGGACUGGUAAUGUCACCUGCAGUUGGAUGAUAAUGUAGCAACCCAUCACUCAAAAAGACUUGUCAGACCAACUGUUCAUUUGUAUAUUACAGUUAAAUACCUCAAAAGCUGUUUUGUAUCACUUUAUUUUUACCAAGGCUAAAUGUACCAUGCAAAUUGCGGAGGUAGCUUCGGGCCUCAAUUUCCAUGCUUGACUCUGUACCUGCCUAAGGGUUAUUUCUCAUCAGCGGGGACUGACGGUGACCGUCCUGUUCCCUGAGGAUGACACAUGGUGAUCUUCAACAGGGAUGCUUGUGACUGAGCCCAGUUUUAUAACCCAUGAAAUGUUUGACAUGCUCGGCUUCUCUUUGAGUUUUAUGGCUGACUCUAGGAGAAAUAGUUGACAUUUAUUCUCGCGGGCCCCUCACUUUUUUCCCUCCUAGCCAUCUUGCACCUUGGAUCACUUUACAGCAGUGGCUCUCAACGGGUUUGGCUCUGGGACCCAACAUCGCCACUCGUGGGACCCACCAUCGCCACUCGUGGGACCCACCAUCGCCACUCGUGGGACCCACUAUCGCCACUUGUGGGACCCACCAUCGCCACUCGUGGGACCCACCAUCGCCACUUGUGGGACCCACCAUCGCCACUCGUGGGACCCACCAUCGCCGCUCAAUGACAAGUGGUGACCCAAAUCGCAAAUUCUUUGCAACUCAGACGUCUGAAAUAUCUUCUAUUUAAAGGGACUAUUUGCAACAAAGCGUACAGCGGUGAGUGGUGAGAUGCUGUCCUCUCUUCCUGGCGCGCUCUUCUCCAGCAGAUAUCUGCAGCUGUGUGAUCGGACGUGACCCACCCACUCAAUGUCUUUCUCCUCCUACUCAAUCUUAAAAAGUUUCCCAUAAACAUGGCAUGCACCUCAUGGCGGCGUAGCAAGCGAAUAACACAGAGGUGCAUUCAUGGACAUUAAUUGGUCAUUAAUUAUUAUUUUUUUGCCCAUGCAUAGACCAGCAACUCACUGAAAGCGGCCCACUUUUGGGUCCUGACCCACGAGUUAAAAAUCCCUGCUUUACAGGACCUCUCUGCCUGUUUGCUCCUGUUUUUCUGUAGUCAAAUAUGGAAAUGUUUUCUGCUGUUUACGUCUCACGAUAAAGCAGUGAUUUAUCUCAAAUAAGUAAAGAAUGGUAGUGAUAAUGAUGCAACAUCCUAAUUAACCACAAUGAAAUCACAUAGUUAUUAGGGAUGUCUGAUAAUAUCGGUCAGUCGAUUUUAUUAUCGGCCCGAUAUUGUCAUAAA